rnacentral:lncRNA from 1 species
AGAAACAAGAACUUAUGAAAGACAUCACCAGAUUAGACUUUUGGAACGUGAAUCUCCGUCUUCUACCGUGUCUUCUGCCGUCUUUUGUAUCCCUGUUCGAGUGUGUAAUUAAUUUCAACAGACAGCAAUGAAUUUUCUUCCCAAGCAGCCGCAAUUUUCCUCUGUCAAUGCCCUAUUGCAGCCCCUAAAUAUGUAUAAAAUAUAGACUGUUGGCUGUUCUCAAUUCCGUGCAUGUCUUCUCAAAUAUGUGAAAUAUGUGUGUAAAUUUUAUAAUAAUGGUUGAAUCUCUCCUCAAUUCCCG